rnacentral:rRNA from 1 species
GAUGAACGCUAGCUACAGGCUUAACACAUGCAAGUCGAGGGACCGGCGCACGGGUGAGUAACACGUAACCAACCUGCCCUUUACUCGGGGAUAGCCUUUCGAUAGACAGAUUAAUACCCGAUAUAAAGGAUGGGGAUGCGUUGCAUUAGGUUGUUGGUGAGGUACCGGCUCACCCAGCCUUCGAUGGAUAGGGGUUCUGAGUGGAAGCGCCCCCACGUUUGAAAUGAGACCCGGUCCAAACACGGACGGAAGGCAGGAGUGAAGAAUAUUAGUGAAUGGGCGCUAGCCUGAACCAGCCAAGUAACGGGAAGAAUGAAUGCUUAUGGGUCGUAAACUGCUUUUAUAUAAGAAUAGGUAUUAAAUGAAUAAGGAUCGGCUAACUCCGUGCCAGCAGCCGCGGUAAUAC